UACGUAGGGGGCAAGCGUUGUCCGGAAUCAUUGGGCGUAAAGAGCGUGUAGGCGGCUUGGUAAGUCCGCUGUGAAAGUCCAGGGCUCAACCCUGGAAUGCCGGUGGAAACUGUCAGGCUCGAGUCCGGAAGAGGCGAGUGGAAUUCCUGGUGUAGCGGUGAAAUGCGCAGAUAUCAGGAAGAACACCAAUGGCGAAGGCAGCUCUCUGGGACGGUACUGACGCUGAGACGCGAAAGCGUGGGGAGCGAACAGG
rnacentral:rRNA from 1 species